AAUGAUAUUAAUAUUUGCCCUUUUUUGCAGCUUGUAUUUGCUGCUGUUGUAAACAUAUGUUAUACAAUAUAUGGACGAGUUUCCAACUUAUCAAGCAAUUACGGAUUCACACACCUAAGCGUUGGAGAUUUGCUCAGAAAAGGAAUCUCUUCCAACGGUGUAUAUGUGUUGUAUCUCUUCCAUUGGACAUCUUGCUUUCACUUUGAUCACAAAACAAUCGAUAAUUGAAACAGGCUGAUGCAGACGCAGCCUCACAAUGCAGUCACAGAUGAGGCUAUGCGCUCAUGAGUUAUGACACUGCAAUCCGUUCCUUCAGUAUGGGUGAAUUAAUUAUUUAGUGACUCAAAUUUAGAUAGUUGACUAUAUAAGUUGACUAAAUUAUAUAUAGAUGUGUACAUUUGUUUGCAAUUUGAUAGAGAAGAAUUAGCCUGA